rnacentral:rRNA from 1 species
GACGUGAGGGCGCGAGCGUUUGUCCGGAUUAUUGGGCGUAAAGAGCUCGUAGGCGGCUUGUUGCGUCAGGCUGUGAAAACCCGCAGCUCAACUGUGGGCUUGCAGCUGAUACGGGCAGGCUUGAGUUCGGUGAGGGGAGACUGGAAUUCCUGGUGUAAGCGGUGAAAUGCGCAGAUAUCAGGAGGAACACCGGUGGCGAAGGCGGGUCUCUGGGCCGAUACAUGACGCUGGAGGAAGCGAAAGCGUGGGGAGCGAACAGG